GGGGGCGAAUAGGGUUCGACGGGGAUAGUUGAGACCACAGUGGCAGGCCGAGCAACCCAUUGUCUCGUUAAUCCAAGGGAAAAAACUGAAAAGCAGACUCACACGAGUACGCUCUGGCUGCAUAGCCAGCGUCUCCGGCGGCACGUGGCCCGCGGAUCGUCGGAGGCGUAGCCAAAUGGGCUGGUCAUUAGGGGUUUCAAGCCGACCCUGGUGACAAGACAACUUGGUUUGAUAGUCUCAAAGAAGCCCGUUUAUCGGCGUCCGAGAGGCGAAAAGCUAAACGGUAAACUAAGCCUGUAGAAGCUUUGGGGUAAGAUCUUCGGACGCGGGUUCAAUUCCCGCCGCCUCCACCA
rnacentral:tmRNA from 1 species